UAAAAAUUGACACCGUAACUUCGGGAUAAGGUGUGCCACUGAGGGUGAAGAGCCUUGCGCUCGUAAGCCUUCGGGGGUUGCAACAAAGAGGCGGUAGCGACUGUUUACCAAAAACACAGGCCUGUGCGAAGCCGUAAGGCGACGUAUACGGGUUGACGCCUGCCCGGUGCCGGAAGGUUAAGGGGAGUGGUCAGCGAAAGCGAAGCUGCGAACCGAAGCCCCGGUAAACGGCGGCCGUAACAAUAACGGUCCUAAGGUAGCGAAAUUCCUUGUCGGGUAAGUUCCGACCUGCACGAAUGGCGUAACGACUUCCGCGCUGUCUCGAUCACGGUCUCAGCGAAAUUGACAUUGGGGUGAAGAUGCCCCAUACCCGCAGCAAGACGGAAAGACCCUGUGAACCUUUACUCUAACUUGGCAGCGACAUUCGGUUCAGCUUGUGUAGGAUAGGUGGGAGACGAUGAAGCGGGGGCGCCAGCCUUCGUGGAGUCAACGUUGAAAUACCACCCUGGUUGUGCUGGAUGUCUAACCCGGCCCUUGUGGCGGGGACACUGCCUGGCGGGGAGUUUGACUGGGGCGGUCGCCUCCCAAACAGUAUCGGAGGCGCGCAAAGAUUCCCUCAGCGUGAUCGGAAACCACGCGCAGAGUGCAAAGGCAGAAGGGAGUUUGACUGCAAGAUCGACAGAUCGAGCAGGUGCGAAAGCAGGCCUUAGUGAUCCGGCGGUCCCACAUGGGAGGGCCGUCGCUCAUCGGAUAAAAGGUACUCCGGGGAUAACAGGCUUAUCACGCCCAAGAGUUCACAUCGACGGCGUGGUUUGGCACCUCGAUGUCGGCUCAUCGCAUCCUGGGGCUGGAGCAGGUCCCAAGGGUUUGGCUGUUCGCCAAUUAAAGCGGUACGCGAGCUGGGUUCAAAACGUCGUGAGACAGUUUGGUCCCUAUCUGCUGUGGGCGCAGGAGAGUUGAGAGACGCUGUCCUUAGUACGAGAGGACCGGGAUGGACGUUCCUCUGGUGUUCCGGUUGUCGCGCCAGCGGCAUAGCCGGAUAACCAUGAACGGAAGGGAUAACCGCUGAAAGCAUCUAAGUGGGAAGCCCAUCUCCAGAUAAACUCUCCCUUGAGGGCCCAGAAAGACCAUCUGGUUGAUAGGCGCGCGUAUAAACGCAGCAAUGCGUGCGCGGACCCGUACUAAUCGCCCGAACGACUUGACCCG
rnacentral:rRNA from 1 species